UAGAGUUUGAUCAUGGCUCAGGAUAAACGCUGGCGGCGUGCCUAACACAUGCAAGUCGAACGCUCUGAGUAAUCAGAGAGUGGCGGACGGGUGAGUAACACGUGGGUCAUCUACCCCGAGGUGAGGAAUACCGGCGAGAAAUCGCCGACAAUACCGCAUACGCUUCGCAAGAAGCAAAGUUCGCAAGAACGCCUCAGGAUGAGCCUGCGCUCGAUUAGCUCGUUGGUGAGGUCAAAGCUCACCAAGGCAACGAUCGAUAGCUGGUCUGAGAGGACGAUCAGCCACACUGGGAUUGAGAACGGCCCAGACUCCUACGGGAGGCAGCAGUGGGGAAUAUUGGACAAUGGGCGCAAGCCUGAUCCAGCCAUGCCGCGUGAGUGAUGAAGGCCCUAGGGUUGUAAAGCUCUUUUGUGCGGGAAGAUAAUGACGGUACCGCAAGAAUAAGCCCCGGCUAACUUCGUGCCAGCAGCCGCGGUA
rnacentral:rRNA from 1 species